rnacentral:rRNA from 1 species
CCUACGGGAGGCAGCAGUAGGGAAUAUUGGGCAAUGGGCGAAAGCCUGACCCAGCCACGCCGCGUGCAGGAAGACGGCCCUCUGGGUUGUAAACUGCUUUUAACUGGGAAGAAAGAAGCCCAUGCGUGGGAAGUUGACGGUACCAGUUGAAUAAGCCACGGCUAACUACGUGCCAGCAGCCGCGGUAAUACGUAGGUGGCAAGCGUUAUCCGGAUUUAUUGGGUUUAAAGGGUGCGUAGGCGGUUUAAUAAGUCAGUGGUUAAAGGUAGCAGCUUAACUGUUUUACAUGCCACUGAUACUGUUGAACUUGAGUUGACAGAAGGCAGAUAGAAUUUCUGGUGUAGCGGUGAAAUGCUUAGAUACCAGAAGGAAUACCGAUUGCGAAGGCAGUCUGCUGCAGUCACACUGACGCUGAGGCACGAAAGUGCGGGGAUCAAACAGGAUUAGAUACCCUGGUAGUCCGCACAGUAAACGAUGAUUACUAGAUGUUGGCCAAGCCAGUGUCCAAGGGAAACCGAUAAGUAAUCCACCUGGGGAGUACGCCGGCAACGGUGAAACUCAAAGGAAUUGACGGCNGAGACGNGCGAGGACGACGACGAGGGAGGAGG